GCAAACUUGGUCAUUUAGAGGAAGUAAAAGUCGUAACAAGGUUUCCGUAGGUGAACCUGCGGAAGGAUCAUUAUCGAGUUAGGGUCUUCUUAGGCCCGACCUCCUAACCCUAUGUUUAAUAAACCUAUGUUGCUUCGGCGGGCCCGUCUCCUGACCGUCGGAGGACCAUUAAGUUGUUCUCUGAUCAGUGCCCGUCGGUGGCCUAACUUGAUAAAUUCUGAUUAAAACGUGUCACUGUCUGAGUACCAAAUCUUAAUUAAAAUAAAAACUUUCAACAACGGAUCUCUUGGUUCUGGCAUCGAUGAAGAACGCAGC
rnacentral:misc_RNA from 1 species